rnacentral:rRNA from 1 species
UACGUAGGGUGCGAGCGUUGUCCGGAAUUAUUGGGCGUAAAGAGCUCGUAGGCGGUGUGUCACGUCGGCCGUGAAAACCUGCAGCUUAACUAUGGGCGUGCGGUCGAUACGGGCAUCACUGGAGUUCGGCAGGGGAGACUGGAAUUCCUGGUGUAGCGGUGAAAUGCGCAGAUAUCAGGAGGAACACCGGUGGCGAAGGCGGUUCUCUGGGCAUUACCUGACGCUGAGGAGCGAAAGUGUGGGGAGCGAACAGG